GACGAACGCUGGCGGCGUGCUUAACACAUGCAAGUCGAACGAAAAGAGGGAAAGAGCUUGCUCUUUCCGGAAUUGAGUGGCAAACGGGUGAGUAACACGUAAACAACCUGCCUUCAGGAUGGGGACAACAGACGGAAACGACUGCUAAUACCGAAUAAGUUCCAAGGGCCGCAUGGCCCAUGGAAGAAAAGGUGGCCUCUACCUGUAAGCUAUCGCCUGAAGAGGGGUUUGCGUCUGAUUAGCUGGUUGGAGGGGGAACGGCCCACCAAGGCGACGAUCAGUAGCCGGUCUGAGAGGAUGAACGGCCACCCUGGAACUGAGACACGGUCCAGACUCCUACGGGAGGCAGCAGUGGGGAAUCUUCCGCAAUGGGCGAAAGCCUGACGGAGCAACGCCGCGUGAGUGAUGACGGCCUUCGGGUUGUAAAACUCUGUGAUCCGGGACGAAAAGGCAGAGUGCGAAGAACAAACUGCAUUGACGGUACCGGAAAAGCAAGCCACGGCUAACUACGUG
rnacentral:rRNA from 1 species